rfam:Oryza sativa (indica cultivar-group) chromosome 1, whole genome shotgun sequence.
AAAAAGGCAAACCCUGGGUUUCCGUGACCAACUUUGACUGUUCGUCUUAUAUGAAAUUUUUUUAUAAUUUGUAUUUUUAUUGUUGUUAGAUGAUAAAACAUGAUUAAUAUUUUAUGCGUGACUUGUCUUUUUAAUUUUUUCAUAAUUUUUUCAAAUAAGACUGACGGUCAAAUAUUCGACACAAAAACAAGGGUUUAUCUUUUU